rnacentral:rRNA from 1 species
GGAUUAGUGGCGAACGGGUGAGUAACACGUGAGUAACCUGCCUUACACAAGGGGAUAGCCUCUGGAAACGGAGAAUAAUACCCUAUAAAGUCUAAUCAGCCCAUGCUGGAAAGACCAAAGAUUUAUCGGUGUAAGAUGGACUUUGCGUCUGAUUAGCUAGUUGGUGAGAUAAAAGCUCACCAAGGCGACGAUCAGUAGCCGGCUUGAGAGAGUGUACGGCCACAUUGGGACUGAGACACGGCCCAAACUCCUACGGGAGGCAGCAGUGGGGAAUUUUGCACAAUGGGGGAAACCCUGAUGCAGCGACGCCGCGUGAUUUAGAAGGCCUUCGGGUUGUAAAAAUCUUUUUUACGGGAUGAAAAUGACAGUACCGUAAGAAUAAGGUCCGGCUAAAUACGUGCCAGCAGCCGCGGUAAUACGUAUGGACCGAGCGUUGUCCGGAAUCAUUGGGCGUAAAGGGUACGUAGGCGGCCUAGUAAGUUAGAAGUUAAAGAAUAUAGCUCAACUAUAUAAAGCUUUUAAAACUGCUAGGCUUGAGAGAUGGAAGGGAAAGUGGAAUUCCUAGUGUAGCGGUGAAAUGCGCAGAUAUUAGGAAGAAUACCGGUGGCGAAGGCGACUUUCUGGUCAUCAUCUGACGCUGAGGUACGAAAGCGUGGGUAGCAAACAGGAUUAGAUACCCUGGUAGUCCACGCUGUAAACGAUGAGUGUUAGGUUCUUGGAAUAAUCUGGGAGCCGCAGCUAUACGCAUUAAACACUCCGCCUGGGAGUACGCACGCAAGUGUG